rnacentral:rRNA from 1 species
GUGUGUUAGUGGAAGCGUCUGGAAAGGCGCGCGAUACAGGGUGACAGCCCCGUACACAAAAGCGCAUGUGCUGUGAGCUCGAUGAGUAGGGCGGGACACGUGGUAUCCUGUCUGAAUAUGGGGGGACCAUCCUCCAAGGCUAAAUACUCCUGACUGACCGAUAGUGAACCAGUACCGUGAGGGAAAGGCGAAAAGAACCCCGGCGAGGGGAGUGAAAAAGAACCUGAAACCGUGUACGUACAAGCAGUGGGAGCACCCUUUGGGGUGUGACUGCGUACCUUUUGUAUAAUGGGUCAGCGACUUAUAUUCUGUAGCAAGGUUAACCGAAUAGGGGAGCCGUAGGGAAACCGAGUCUUAACCGGGCGUUAAGUUGCAGGGUAUAGACCCGAAACCCGGUGAUCUAGCCAUGGGCAGGUUGAAGGUUGGGUAACACUAACUGGAGGACCGAACCGACUAAUGUUGAAAAAUUAGCGGAUGACCUGUGGCUGGGGGUGAAAGGCCAAUCAAACCGGGAGAUAGCUGGUUCUCCCCGAAAGCUAUUUAGGUAGCGCCUCGUGAAUUCAUCUCCGGGGGUAGAGCACUGUUUCGGCUAGGGGGCCAUCCCGGCUUACCAACCCGAUGCAAACUGCGAAUACCGGAGAAUGUUAUCACGGGAGACACACGGCGGGUGCUAACGUCCGUCGUGAAGAGGGAAACAACCCAGACCGCCAGCUAAGGUCCCAAAGUCAUGGUUAAGUGGGAAACGAUGUGGGAAGGCCCAGACAGCCAGGAUGUUGGCUUAGAAGCAGCCAUCAUUUAAAGAAAGCGUAAUAGCUCACUGGUCGAGUCGGCCUGCGCGGAAGAUGUAACGGGGCUAAACCAU